GAUGAACGCUGGCGGCGUGCCUAAUACAUGCAAGUCGAGCGAACAGACGAGGAGCUUGCUCCUCUGACGUUAGCGGCGGACGGGUGAGUAACACGUGGAUAACCUACCUAUAAGACUGGGAUAACUUCGGGAAACCGGAGCUAAUACCGGAUAACAUGUUGAACCGCAUGGUUCAACAGUGAAAGACGGUUUUGCUGUCACUUAUAGAUGGAUCCGCGCCGCAUUAGCUAGUUGGUAAGGUAACGGCUUACCAAGGCAACGAUGCGUAGCCGACCUGAGAGGGUGAUCGGCCACACUGGAACUGAGACACGGUCCAGACUCCUACGGGAGGCAGCAGUAGGGAAUCUUCCGCAAUGGGCGAAAGCAUGACGGAGCAACGCCGCGUGAGUGAAGAAGGUCUUCGGAUCGUAAAACUCUGUUAUUAGGGAAGAACAAAUGUGUAAGUAACUAUGCACGUCUUGACGGUACCUAAUCAGAAAGCCACGGCUAACUACGUG
rnacentral:rRNA from 1 species